UUUGGUUCGGAGGAUAAGCAGGGAUAACGAAAGUUAUCCCCGCUAUUCCGCCAAACAGAAUGAUAUUUUAUUGGAAUAUUUUAUUCCGGUCAAAUCUUACUAUUCCCGGUUAUUCCGAAAUAGUAAGAAUUUUGGUGGAAUAGUACUAUUCCAAUACUUAAUUUUAAAGUUAAUUAAAAUUAAAUUAUAUUUUAUAAUAUAUUAUUUUUAUUAUAAAAUUAUUAAUUGUACUAUAUUAAUAUAUAUUAUUUAUAUUUAAAUAUUAUAAUAAAAUUUAUAAUAAAUUAUAUUUAAAUAUUAUAAUAAAUUCUUUUUAUUAAAAUUUAAGUUUAAGUAGAAAUUUUUAAAAAAUUUAUAAAUUUAUUAUAAUAAAUUAUUUUUAUUAAUUGUUCCCACCCUUAUUCUUAUUUUAAAAUUUUAAAAUUUAAAUUUUUAAAAUUUAUAAUUUAUAAUCUCAAAAUUAAUAAAAAUAAUUUAUUAUAAUAAAUUUUUCAUCUUACCUAACAAAAUGCUAUUUUUUUUUAUUCCCAGGAAUAAUUCAAUUAUCAUCCAAACGCAGAAUUGAUAUAAUCCCCGCUUAUAUCUUAAUUUAUACCUAUCUCUGGAAUAGUCACUUUUUGUUUAUUUCCGAACCAAACGAUAUCUAAUUAAAGCAUUGUAUAU
rnacentral:lncRNA from 1 species